CGAACGCUGGCGGCAGGCCUAAUACAUGCAAGUCGAACGGCUCUUCGGAGCAGUGGCGGACGGGUGAGUAACGCGUGGGAAUGUGCCCUUUGGUACGGAACAACACAGGGAAACUUGUGCUAAUACCGUAUGUGCCCUUCGGGGGAAAGAUUUAUCGCCAUUGGGGCAGCCCGCGUUGGAUUAGGUAGUUGGUGAGGUAAAGGCUCACCAAGCCUACGAUCCAUAGCUGGUCUGAGAGGAUGAUCAGCCACACUGGGACUGAGACACGGCCCAGACUCCUACGGGAGGCAGCAGUAGGGAAUCUUGCGCAAUGGGCGAAAGCCUGACGCAGCCAUGCCGCGUGAAUGAUGAAGGUCUUAGGAUUGUAAAAUUCUUUCACCGGGGAAGAUAAUGACGGUACCCGGAGAAGAAGCCCCGGCUAACUACGUGCCAGCAGCCGCCGUAAUAC
rnacentral:rRNA from 1 species